CCUACGGGAGGCUGCAGUGAGGAAUAUUGGUCAAUGGACGAGAGCCUGAACCAGCCAAGUAGCGUGAAGGAUGACUGCCCUAUGGGUUGUAAACUUCUUUUAUAUGGGAAUAAAACGUUCCACGUGUGGGAUUUUGUAUGUACCAUAUGAAUACGGAUCGGCCAAUUCCGUGCCAGCAGCCGCGGUAAUACGGAGGAUCCGAGCGUUAUCCGGAUUUAUUGGGUUUAAAGGGAGCGUAGGUGGAUUUUUAAGUCAGUGGGGAAAGGUUGGGGCUCAACCGUAAAAUUGCAGUUGAAACUGGCAGUCUUGAGUACAGGAGAGGUGGGUGGAAUUCGUGGUGUAGCGGUGAAAUGCGUAGAUAUCACGAAGAACUCCGAUUGCGAAGGCAGUUCACUGGACUGCAACUGACGCUGAGGCUCGAAAGUGUGGGUAUCAAACAGGAUUAGAUACCCGUGUAGUC
rnacentral:rRNA from 1 species